CCGAGUUUACAACUCCCAAACCCAAUGUGAACGUUACCAAACUGUUGCCUCGGCGGGGUCACGCCCCGGGUGCGUCGCAGCCCCGGAACCAGGCGCCCGCCGGAGGAACCAACCAAACUCUUUCUGUAGUCCCCUCGCGGACGUAUUUCUUACAGCUCUGAGCAAAAAUUCAAAAUGAAUCAAAACUUUCAACAACGGAUCUCUUGGUUCUGGCAUCGAUGAAGAACGCAGCGAAAUGCGAUAAGUAAUGUGAAUUGCAGAAUUCAGUGAAUCAUCGAAUCUUUGAACGCACAUUGCGCCCGCCAGUAUUCUGGCGGGCAUGCCUGUCCGAGCGUCAUUUCAACCCUCGAACCCCUCCGGGGGAUCGGCGUUGGGGAUCGGGACCCCUCACACGGGUGCCGGCCCCGAAAUACAGUGGCGGUCUCGCCGCAGCCUCUCCUGCGCAGUAGUUUGCACAACUCGCACCGGGAGCGCGGCGCGUCCACGUCCGUAAAACACCCAACUUUCUGAAAUGUUGACCUCGGAUCAGGUAGGAAUACCCGCUGAACUUAAGCAUAUCAAUAAGGCGGAGGAA
rnacentral:rRNA from 1 species